rnacentral:misc_RNA from 1 species
UACGGAGGGGACUAGCGUUGUUCGGAAUUAAUGGGCGUAAAGCGAGCGUAGGCGGACUAUUAAGUCAGGGGUGAAAUCCCGGGGCUCAACCCCGGAACUGCCCUUGAUACUGGUAGUCUGGAGUUCUUGAGAGGUGAGUGGGAUUCCGAGUGUAGAGGUGAAAUUCGUAGAUAUUCGGAGGAACACCAGUGGCGAAGGCGGCUCACUGGCUCGAUACUGACGCUGAGGUUCGAAAGCGUGGGGAGCAAACAGG